rnacentral:misc_RNA from 1 species
UUUCCGUAGGUGAGCCUGCGGAAGGAUCAUUCAUAAUAAAGUGUUUUAUGGCACUUUUUAAAAAUCCAUAUCCACCUUGUGUGCAAUGUUAGAUCUCGUCAAUCUUGGCGAGAUUUUUAUACAUCAACUCAUUUUUUAACUAAUUUGUCUGAAAAAUAUUAUGAAUACUUAAUUCAAAAUACAACUAUCAACAACGGAUCUCUUGGCUCUC